ACGUGCAGAGGGCUGGAGCUGACUUACGCCUGCGCAGAAUGGCAAUUACGGCACGUUUUUCCAAUCAGCGCUGACCACGCCUCAGAUCCAGCCCAUGAAUACCCCGUUUCUUUAUCACAUAAAUACCGCAAGCCCUUACCCUCGGGGUGGCAUCUUUAAGAUUUGUUUCGUCUCCUUACUUGGCUGCCUUUUGAAUAAACCCGCUCCCUGCUGCAAACCUCACUGUCUCAGCAUUUUGGCGUGCUGUGCAUCGGGCAAAACAAACCUGGUUCGGACAUCCAUCUUCUCCUGCCGUCAGUCAUCAGAGCUCCAGAUUCUCAGCCUUCAGACUCAGAUUGAAUUAUACCACUGGCUUGCCAGGUUCUUCAGCCUGCGGGUAGCAGAUUGUGGGACUUCUCAGCCUCCAUAGCUGGUCAAAUCAAGUUUAUUGAAAGACAAAGACUAAGGGACAUCACAGAUUGGAGACUAAGGAGACAUUGAUUAAAUACAACAUGAGAAUCUGGAUUGAAUUGCAGACCAAGAAAAGGGAAUUAGUGGAACAAUUGAAAAAUUCAAAGUCUUUGUGCCAGAUCAUCUCGGUUCCUGUUGGUAGAGGAGCACAGUGGAAGCAGAGAGAACAAUUCCAAUACUGCUGCAAUCGUCUAGAGAAGAAAACUGGAGCACACAGACAUCAAACCUUAGCGUGUCUGAGGGCCCAUAACACGUCAGGCAUGAGCUGGAUUGGAAGCCAGCUUCGUCUUACACUGAAGAAGCCAUGCUAGACUCAAUGCAAAAACCUGGAGAGCGCUCGAGGGAGAGGUGAGAAGGACAUCCGGAACAGACCUGACAAGAAGUUUCUUGAAGAUUAGCUGGCCUCUGGAAGAUGUGGAAAAGACAACAGGCCCUGCCAGCAAAGAGGAGCAUCCAGCAGACAUUCUGAGCACAACUCAUGCCCCAGAAGAGUAGGCUCCAGGGGAAAGCAGUGAAGCCAAUGGAUCCAGACCUAGAAGGGUUGAUUGCAAAGAAGAACUGGCAGAGCUUGAGGUUUUUCAUGUUGUUCAAGCUGAGGAGGGAAAACUCCAAUAGAGGGGGACAAUGAGCCAUGCUAGAAAAGGCUUGGAAGUAUGGCUGCAAUCUAGGACUCGGUUUGUCCAGGAGUACUCACUAUGUUCCAGCUAAGGGAAAGAGAAUGAUUACAUACUUGCACUGUCACACUUGCUGUGUCAACUCCGCAAAUUUUGGUUUUAAGUUCCUUUUUCUUUUUUUUUUUGGUACGCGGGCCUCUCA